UUGAGUUAUGAUGGUUGGAAAAGUGGAAAGACGACCCAAAACAGCUUUUCACAGUUGUAUUUUGUUUCUAUUGACUUUGAAUGAUGUGUAUUUUGCGAUGCUAAAAUGUUUAUUUACAUGGAGUCUGGUGAGUAUAGCAAAUGCAAUUUUUCGAAUGUUUUUAUGUUUAAAAAAAAGAAUCUUACUCUUUAACAAAAAGAUCAACCUCCUUAUUAAUCCUUUCCAUAACGUUGACAGACACUUAAUAUUAAUCUGAGCCUGUCAACAAGCUGGACAACUGCCCUAUUAAUUUACAUUGUAGUCUGUUUUGCCGCUGCCGACUGCAGCGUUCUUGCUUAAUAUUGGCCCCAUUUCAAAGAUUGUUGUUACUAUCAGUCACUUAGACACAAAAACAUAGG